rnacentral:tRNA from 1 species
AGGCGGGUAGCUCAAAAGAAGAGUGCUGCGUUUACAUCGCAGAGGUUGGUUGUUCAAAUCAACCCCCGCCUACCA